rnacentral:rRNA from 1 species
GGAGCUCUCCCAUAUGGUCGACCUGCAGGCGGCCGCGAAUUCACUAGUGAUUCGUAUUACCGCGGCUGCUGGCACGGAGUUAGCCGGUGCUUAUUCUGUGGGUAACGUCAAGAUGCAGCGAUAUUAGCGCUGCACUUUUCUUCCCCACUGAAAGUGCUUUACAACCCGCAGGCCUUCUUCACACACGCGGCAUUGCUGGAUCAGGCUUUCGCCCAUUGUCCAAUAUUCCCCACUGCUGCCUCCCGUAGGAGUCUGGGCCGUGUCUCAGUCCCAGUGUGUCCGUCCGCCCUCUCAGGCCGGAUACCGAUCGUUGCCUUGGUGAGCCGUUACCUCACCAACAAGCUAAUCAGACGCGGGCCGAUCUUUCGGCGAUAAAUCUUUCCCCGUAAGGGCUUAUCCGGUAUUAGCACAAGUUUCCCUGUGUUGUUCCGAACCAAAAGGUAUGUUCCCACGCGUUACUCACCCGUCUGCCGCUGACGUAUUGCUACGCCCGCUCCACUUGCAUGUGUUAAGCCUGCCGCCAGCGUUCGCUCUGAGCCAGGAUCAAACUCUAAUCGAAUUCCCGCGGCCG